GGUGGGGAAGCAGGUGGAGCCCAAACUUGGAUGGCCCCAGCCAUAGGGCCUCCACCAUUCCAGUCAUUACUCCCUCUGUAGCCCCCACAGCACCCCCUGCAGGCCAGGCAGGGUGAGGCAACCCUGCUGAAAGUGGGAGCAACUACAGGGAGUUACAUUGUAAAGAAAAACUCAAAAAUGCACCCUAUCCUGCCAUGUGACCCCAAAUUCCUCUCCUAGGUAUUGAGCCAGGAGGAAUGGUACAUUAGAAUUUUCAUAGUAGCCAAAAGGCAAAAAAGAGCUUACAGGUUCAAAAGGAGAUAAACCCAACUGUGCUACGUUCAUAAGAUGGAAAUCUACUCAGCAAUAAAAAAGGAUAGUAAUACAACACGGUAAUAAUGAUAAAAAUAAAAGAUUCAUAAUGACUCUCACAUAUUGAGUGAAAGAAGGCAGACUCAAAAGACAUACCCUAUGAUUCAUUUCUAUGAAGCUCAAGGACAGGGAAAAAUACAGCGGUUGCCUCAGGAGGUGAAGUUUGGGGACUGAUUAUAAAGGGGCACGAGGAGGGGGAGCCUGGGUAGCUCAGUCAGUUAAGCAUCCGACUUUGGCCCAGGUCAUGAUCUCGCAGUUGGUGGGUUCAAGCCCUGCAUCUGGCUCUGUGCUGACAGCACAGAGCCUGCUUCAGAUUCUGUGUCUCUCUCUCUGCCCCUCCUCUGCUCACACUCGAGCUCUCUCAAAAUAAAUAAACUUUAAAAAAAAAAGGGGGGGGGCAUGAGGGCAUGAGAAAGUUCUUUAUUUUCAUUAGGGAAGUGGUCACAUAGGUAUAUACAUGUGUCAAAACAUUCAACUAUAUACAUAAAGCCUGUGUAUUUCAUAGUAUGUAAAUUUUAUCUAAAAAUGUAAGUGAAACAUGACUGUGUUCAGAAUCUAACGGAAAAGGGUAGACCUUGCUGAACUCCUUUGUGUGGCCAUUCCUCUCAAUCCCUGGAGGCGGCUCUCUGAAGCAGGCAGAGGUUUCCCAUGUCCAGACGGAGAAGGCGUGCAGUGGGGCGGAGCGUGACUUGAUGCAGCCACCUGUCAUACUGAGGAGAACCUGGGACAGGGUUGUGGUCACCACAGACUUCAGGAAGAUGCCUCUUUGGACCAAAACUACAUCAGGUUCUGAGCUGGGCUAUAUGACUGGAUCCCAUGGAGCUCACAGCCCAUGGUGGGAGGCACAGUGGUCACAGGCAUCCAGUCACCUCAAGCAGGGGCACCCCUUGGGUUCUACUUGCCCUCUCCCUGGACUCUCUCAGCCACCCGGGUGAGUCGCCACAUUUUAUGUGAGUAUGAGUUCCCUUUCAGUAAAGUGAGAUCUGAAUUACAUGACAUAAAAUGCAACCAUUUUAAGUGCAUUUGAUAUGCUUUGACGAGUGUAUGUUCCUGUGUAGUCACCACCCUAGUCAAAAUAAAAAACACUUCCAGCACUCCAGAAAGCUUCCUCCUGCCCCUACUGAUGUGACUUCCGUCACAAUUGCUUAGUUUCACCUGUUGUAGAAAUUCAUAAAAAUGUAGUCAUGCAAUAUGUCCCUUUUGAGCCUGGCUUCCUUCAUUCAACAUAGUAUCUGCAAAAUGCGUCUAUAUUGUUGCAUUUGUCAAUGAUUUCUUCCUUCUGGAGCGCUUGGGUGGCUCAGUCACUUUAGAGUCUCUUACUAGUUUUAGCAUAGGUCAUGAUCUGGAGGCUUCGUGGGUUUGAACACUGCAUUAGGCUCCUGGCUGGCAGCUGACUCCUCGUGGGCAGCACUGAGCCUGCUUGAGAUUCUUGCUCUCUCCCUCCCUCUCUGCCCCUCUGCUGUCUCUGUCUCUCUCCAAAUAAA